rnacentral:rRNA from 1 species
CACGUAGGGUGCAAGCGUUGUCCGGAAUCAUUGGGCGUAAAGAGCUCGUAGGCGGCUUAGUAAGUCGGGUGUGAAAACCCCAGGCUCAACCUGGGACGCCACCCGAUACUGCUAUAGCUAGAGUCCAGUAGGGGAGUGUGGAAUUCCCAGUGUAGCGGUGAAAUGACGCAGAUAUUGGGAGGAACACCAGCGGCGAAGGCGGCACUCUGGCCCGGUACUGACGCUGAGGUGCGAAAGCGUGGGGAGCAAACAGG